UACGUAGGUGGCGAGCGUUAUUCGGAUUUAUUGGGCGUAAAGGGUCCGUAGGGGGCCUGUUAAGUCUGGUGUGAAAGCCCACAGCUCAACUGUGGAACUGCACUGGAUACUGACAGGCUAGAGUGCAAGAGAGGAAAGCGGAAUUCAUGGUGUAGCGGUGGAAUGCGUAGAUAUCAUGAGGAAGACCGAUAGCGAAGGCAGCUUUCUGGCUUGUUACUGACCCUGAGGGACGAAAGCCUAGGUAGCGAAAAGG
rnacentral:rRNA from 1 species